rnacentral:lncRNA from 1 species
AUGAGCCACUUCCUGAAAACCGUGUUUUACAUGGUAAAGCUAAAAAUGUAUUUCUUCGAAAAACUCAGCUGUGUUUUGUUUCCUCUCCUCUUGAUUCAGACUGUCCACCUUACUUCUGUUUCUGCUCCAGCGCUUACGUACCGCUGUAGAGUAGGGACACUUGGUGAUGGAGGGCACGGGCCGCGCUCUGCAAGUGCUGCGGAGAAGGUUUUCCUGACUGUUCUGUGGCCCUGUCGCUGCAGCCGCCAUGGAUCCGAAUGCUGUGGCUGCAAAGGCUUCUUACUUUCUCAUACUGGAUCCCUCAAAUCCAAGAGCUGCUUGGCAGUUUCCAAGGCAACCACCUGUGGAAUAAUUAAAAAGGAUGAAGCGUUAGUGUGCCAAAGAUACGGAAUUCUUGCCUGGAGAGAGCACUUCAUUUUCAUCUGUUGUGAAGAAUCAAAUGUGUCUCUGCCAGCAAAGUUAAGAAGAAGAAAUGGUGACCGAGCUGUGCAAGUGAACCAGGACAAUCCAAAAAAUUCAGAAGGCGUCUGUGAGCGGCCGGGCAGGACUAGCACAGGAGAGGUGCUUCUGGUACCUGCUGCCUCUCGCCUGGGGCUUGUGCCAGCAAGGAGCCGAGGUGCCGACUUCACAUCACACCUGGGCUCGAUUUCGGAUGCUUCUCCUGGCAACGCAGGGACCUCCGCUGAUGGGGGUGCUGAGCAACCUCUGUGCCCCAGCCGUGGGACAGAACCAUCCCAGAGGCCCUGCUGCUCUCUCACAUCCCUGAUACUCGUCGCUGAAUGA